rnacentral:rRNA from 1 species
AUUGAACGCUGGCGGCAUGCCUUACACAUGCAAGUCGAACGGUAACGGGCCUUCGGGUGCCGACGAGUGGCGAACGGGUGAGUAAUACAUCGGAACGUGCCCGAUCGUGGGGGAUAACGAGGCGGAAGCUUUGCUAAUACCGCAUACGAUCUACGGAUGAAAGCAGGGGACCGCAAGGCCUUGCGCGGACGGAGCGGCCGAUGGCAGAUUAGGUAGUUGGUGGGAUAAAAGCUUACCAAGCCGACGAUCUGUAGCUGGUCUGAGAGGAUGAUCUGCCACACUGGGACUGAGACACGGCCCAGACUCCUACGGGAGGCAGCAGUGGGGAAUUUUGGACAAUGGGCGCAAGCCUGAUCCAGCCAUGCCGCGUGCAGGAUGAAGGCCUUCGGGUUGUAAACUGCUUUUGUACGGAACGAAAAGCCUUCUUUUAAUACAGGAGGGUCAUGACGGUACCGUAAGAAUAAGCACCGGCUAACUACGU